GAUGAACGCUGGCGGCGUGCCUAAUACAUGCAAGUCGAGCGAACGGACGAGAAGCUUGCUUCUCUGAUGUUAGCGGCGGACGGGUGAGUAACACGUGGAUAACCUACCUAUAAGACUGGGAUAACUUCGGGAAACCGUAGCUAAUACCGGAUAAUAUUUUGAACCGCAUGGUUCAAAAGUGAAAGACGGUCUUGCUGUCACUUAUAGAUGGAUCCGCGCUGCAUUAGCUAGUUGGUAAGGUAACGGCUUACCAAGGCAACGAUGCAUAGCCGACCUGAGAGGGUGAUCGGCCACACUGGAGCUGAGACACGGUCCAGACUCCUACGGGAGGCAGCAGUAGGGAAUCGUCCGCAAUGGGCGAAAGCCUGACGGAGCAACGCCGCGUGAGAGAUGAAGGUCUUCGGAUCGUAAAACUCUGUUAUUAGGGAAGAACAUAUGUGUAAGUAAAUGUGCACAUCUUGACGGUACCUAAUCAGAAAGCCACGGCUAACUACGUG
rnacentral:rRNA from 1 species